AGCUCCAAUAGCGUAUAUUAAAGUUGUUGCAGUUAAAAAGCUCGUAGUUGAAGUUCUGAUUGCUCAGCUUUUCAGCCAUUAGGCGGGGAGUCUGACAGUCAUCCGCUUGCAAACAUAUGUUAGCAUUUAACCGUGCUGCUAUGUGAGUAAGCAUUUUACCUUGAGAAAAACAGAGUGUUCCAGGCAGGUUUGUCCGGAAUGCAUUAGCAUGGAAUAAUAGAACAUGACUGGAGUCUAUUUAUUGGUUUAAGGCUUUAGUAAUGAUUAAUAGGAACAGUCGGGGGCAUUCGUACUCAGCAGUCAGAGGUGAAAUUCUAAGAUUUGCUGAAGACGAACUAAUGCGAAAGCAUUUGCCAAGGAUGUUUUCA
rnacentral:rRNA from 1 species